UGGGGAAUAUUGCACAAUGGGCGCAAGCCUGAUGCAGCCAUGCCGCGUGUAUGAAGAAGGCCUUCGGGUUGUAAAGUACUUUCAGCGAGGAGGAAGGCAUUAAGGUUAAUAACCUUAGUGAUUGACGUUACUCGCAGAAGAAGCACCGGCUAACUCCGUGCCAGCAGCCGCGGUAAUACGGAGGGUGCAAGCGUUAAUCGGAAUUACUGGGCGUAAAGCGCACGCAGGCGGUCUGUUAAGUCAGAUGUGAAAUCCCCAGGGCCUCAAGCCUGGGAACUGGCAUUGAACUGGCAGGCUGAGUCUUGUAGAGGGGGGUAGAAUUCCAGGGUG
rnacentral:rRNA from 1 species